rnacentral:rRNA from 1 species
UACGUAGGGUGCGAGCGUUGUCCGGAUUUAUUGGGCGUUAAGAGCUCGUAGGCGGUUUGUCGCGUCGGCCGUGAAAUCUCCACGCUUAACGUGGAGCGUGCGGUCGAUACGGGCAGACUUGAGUUCGGUAGGGGAGACUGGAAUUCCUGGUGUAGCGGUGAAAUGCGCAGAUAUCAGGAGGAACACCGGUGGCGAAGGCGGGUCUCUGGGCCGAUACUGACGCUGAGGAGCGAAAGCGUGGGGAGCGAACAGG